CCUACGGGGGGCAGCAGUGAGGAAUAUUGGUCAAUGGACGAGAGUCUGAACCAGCCAAGUAGCGUGAAGGAUGACUGCCCUAUGGGUUGUAAACUUCUUUUAUAUGGGAAUAAAAUGUUCCACGUGUGGGAUUUUGUAUGUACCAUAUGAAUAAGGAUCGGCUAACUCCGUACCAGCAGCCGCGGUAAUACGGAGGAUCCGAGCGUUAUCCGGAUUUAUUGGGUUUAAAGGGAGCGUAGGUGGAUUGUUAAGUCAGUUGUGAAAGUUUGCGGCUCAACCGUAAAAUUGCAGUUGAAACUGGCAGUCUUGAGUACAGUAGAGGUGGGCGGAAUUCGUGGUGUAGCGGUGAAAUGCUUAGAUAUCACGAAGAACUCCGAUUGCGAAGGCAGUUCACUGGACUGCAACUGACACUGAGGCUCGAAAGUGUGGGUAUCAAACAGGAUUAGAUACCCCUGUAGUC
rnacentral:rRNA from 1 species